rnacentral:tRNA from 1 species
GCAUACCCGGCCCAGUGGUUAGCGAGUCGUUUGUUAAGCGUGAGGUCACCGGUUCGAUCCGGGUUACGUGCG